UGUUGUUGGUGUGCACUAUAGGUCCUUUUGCAGCAACAUGAGGAAAGAAUCCCAAAUGCACACAUGUGGAGAAGUCUAAAUGUGAUGCUAUUUUGUUAGUGCAACUAAAUUUCAUGUCGAUUUUGUGUCCUGGGAUUGGAUAAAGAGUAAAAUGGAGAGACACAUAUUUCUUUUACAUUGAUAACACACUGAAGACCUCGGGAAGGAAUGUGCGUGUGUACAGAACCCCUGACAUCUGGAAGAUCUCCCUCUCAGCCAUUCCAGAAGCUGAGGUGCAGGACGGAUCCUUCCCAGGAAUGUACAUUUUACUGUAAGUGUUACCAGUGCGAGGAGGAGACCCCAGUUCUUGUCUUCUAGAAGGAAAGAUUUCAAUCAAGAGACAAAGUGCAGCAGAAUGCUUACUACAAUCUUAAAGAGUGGUGAAAGGUGUGCACCCGCCACUUGUGUUCUGGAUCCUACAACCUCUUACCUUCCGUACCAACUAUCAUUCUCUUCUCUAUUUCCAACUUUCCCCCUGAGCAUGCACUCAUGUGUGUUUUGCAUCUUUAAACAAAGAAGCAAGCUUGAUCCUAUUCUCCACUUUACUGUUUUGGGUGUCCUCUUCUGGUCCGAGCCAACCCUCUAACAGAACAGGUAAUUUCUGCAUCGCCAUUCUCACAUGUCAUAGUUCCUCAAAGGACAGUACCUCACCCAUCCUACUGAAACUCCUCCUCCAAAGUUACCGCUGCCAGGUUCAACGGAUGCUUUUCAGGCGCCUCUUUCUGAUUGAAGAUAAGGAAAUUGAAGCCCAGAGGAGCUGAGUAACUUGUCCAAGGCAUGAUGGGUGUUAAGCAACAAAGUCGGACCCGAACUAAGAACAAGUAGAAAGUGUCGACAGAGUGUAAAUAAAUCUGGAGGCUCCACUAAAAUGAAAUGACAAAGUUUUAUUCAAGGGGCUCAAGACUUGCAAAUCUGUCAACACUACCAGGUAACAU